CUACGGGAGGCAGCAGUGGGGAAUUUUGGACAAUGGGGGCAACCCUGAUCCAGCCAUGCCGCGUGUGUGAAGAAGGCCUUCGGGUUGUAAAGCACUUUCGGCCGGAACGAAAUCGCGCGAUCUAAUACGUCGCGUGGAUGACGGUACCGGAAGAAGAAGCACCGGCUAACUACGUGCCAGCAGCCGCGGUAAU
rnacentral:rRNA from 1 species